UCAGGACGAACGCUGGCGGCGUGCUUAACACAUGCAAGUCGAGCGGUAAGGCCCUUCGGGGUACACGAGCGGCGAACGGGUGAGUAACACGUGAGCAAUCUGCCCUUCACUCUGGGAUAACCCUCGGAAACGGGAGCUAAUACCGGAUAUGACCACUUCACGCAUGUGAUGGUGGUGGAAAGUUCUGGCGGUGGAGGAUGAGCUCGCGGCCUAUCAGCUUGUUGGUGAGGUAAUGGCUCACCAAGGCUUCGACGGGUAGCCGGCCUGAGAGGGUGACCGGCCACACUGGGACUGAGACACGGCCCAGACUCCUACGGGAGGCAGCAGUGGGGAAUAUUGGACAAUGGGCGAAAGCCUGAUCCAGCAACGCCGCGUGAGGGAUGACGGCCUUCGGGUUGUAAACCUCUUUCAGCAGGGACGAAGCGCAAGUGACGGUACCUGCAGAAGAAGCACCGGCCAACUACGUGCCAGCAGCCGCGGUAAUACGUAGGGUGCGAGCGUUGUCCGGAAUUAUUGGGCGUAAAGGGCUCGUAGGCGGUUUGUCGCGUCGGGAGUGAAAACUCAGGGCUUAACCCUGAGCCUGCUUCCGAUACGGGCAGACUAGAGGUAUGCAGGGGAGAACGGAAUUCCUGGUGUAGCGGUGAAAUGCGCAGAUAUCAGGAGGAACACCGGUGGCGAAGGCGGUUCUCUGGGC
rnacentral:rRNA from 1 species